UUUUGACUGAAAAACAUCCAUUUAUUAAUGAUGCAGAAAUGCAAAUUUAAACAUGAGGUGGCCCUUACAAUGGACCAUUACGUGUCGGGCAACACAUAUGGCUUUCAUGCAGAUAAAACUGAAAACAAGAAACAUUACUCUUCCAGACGAGCGACAGUGAUGAUCUUUUUAGGCCUUCCAGCUUCCUGGUACGCACGAUCUUAUCCAUUGAUCAAUCUCCCAGUCACUGUCAG
rnacentral:lncRNA from 1 species